GCGCCUGUAGCUCAGUCGGAUAGAGCAUCUGCCUUCUAAGCAGAGGGUCGGGGGUUCGAAUCCCUCCAGGCGUGCCA
rnacentral:tRNA from 1 species